UACGGAGGGUGCAAGCGUUUGUUCGGAAUUAUUGGGCGUAAAGGGCGCGUAGGCGGCCUUGUAAGUCCUGUGUGAAAUCCCCCGGCUCAACUGGGGAACUGCACAGGAGACUGCUUGGCUUGAGUUCGGGAGAGGGAAGCGGAAUUCCGGGUGUAGCGGUGAAAUGCGUAGAUAUCCGGAGGAACACCGGUGGCGAAGGCGGCUUCCUGGACCGACACUGACGCUGAGGCGCGAAAGCCAGGGGAGCAAACGGG
rnacentral:rRNA from 1 species